CACGUAGGGCGCGAGCGUUGUCCGGAAUUAUUGGGCGUAAAGAGCGUGUAGGCGGCCAGGUAGGUCUGCUGUGAAAACUCGAGGCUUAACCUCGAGAUGUCGGCGGAAACCAUCUGGCUAGAGUCCGGAAGAGGAGAGCGGAAUUCCUGGUGUAGCGGUGAAAUGCGCAGAUAUCAGGAGGAACACCCGUGGCGAAGGCGGCUCUCUGGGACGGUACUGACGCUGAGACGCGAAAGCGUGGGGAGCGAACAGG
rnacentral:rRNA from 1 species